GGUUCACUGUGGCAAUGCAGAUGCCCCGAGAAGAGGUAGUAGUGGUGGUGCGGGCGCGCCGUGGGCGAGGUGGGCUUCGGGUGUAGCGGCGGGUGCGGCUGCCCCAUCGAUGGCAGCGCGAUGCCCCCCGCCGUCGGGCCCACACCGCCGGACAUUGGCGGUGACCGGAGACUGUCGCGAUGAUUGUUGGUCGGUUGCGGAGCUUGCAACACGAGCUGGUAGCGCCAGCGUUGGCGAGAGAGUGAGGUGUCCCCAGUGCAGUAGGCGGGGGAAAGCUUAAGGCGACCAGUGCCCUCCGGUCCUCAUCGCUGCACGUCGAGGUCAAGUCUGAGGCUGCAAGCUGCAAGCUGAUGCAUCCACAGACAUCAUCGUCGACUGCAUCUUCAACCUCCGGAUGCCGCUUCCGUACACUGCUUCGUCAACCUCAGCCGUGACCCUUCCUCCCGGUCGCCGUGUUUAAUAUCCUAUUCGUCGGCCGCCUAUCUCGAGCACCGCGAGCGAGGUGGAUGCCCUGACUGCCAAUCACCAAGAAACUCCGCGGAAAGCUGCUGCAGAUAGGUGUUAUGCUGGUAUAUUCUUUCUGUAGCCUUUGUUCAGGUAAAUCAAACCAAGACUUGGAGACUAUAGAUAGCCACUCUUUUUUUACCAACCUUUGUUUUUGUUAAUAAUGAGUCUGACAAUGAAGUGACUACAUCUCCAUCUUUUCACCUUUGUUUCUACUGGGCUUCUCAAAGGUCCAUUCCUGUAAUAUUUUGGAGGACAUCUCCCAUUACAAUCGUUGGGGGUUUUCAA